rnacentral:rRNA from 1 species
GACGAACGCUGGCGGCGUGCUUAACACAUGCAAGUCGAACGGAAAGGCCCUGCUUUUGUGGGGUGCUCGAGUGGCGAACGGGUGAGUAACACGUGAGUAACCUGCCCUUGACUUUGGGAUAACUUCAAGAAACUGGGGCUAAUACCGGAUAGGAGCUCCUGCUGCAUGGUGGGGGUUGGAAAGUUUCGGCGGUUGGGGAUGGACUCGCGGCUUAUCAGCUUGUUGGUGGGGUAGUGGCUUACCAAGGCUUUGACGGGUAGCCGGCCUGAGAGGGUGACCGGCCACAUUGGGACUGAGAUACGGCUCAGACUCCUACGGGAGGCAGCAGUGGGGAAUAUUGCACAAUGGGCGGAAGCCUGAUGCAGCAACGCCGCGUGCGGGAUGACGGCCUUCGGGUUGUAAACCGCUUUCGCCUGUGACGAAGCGUGAGUGACGGUAAUGGGUAAAGAAGCACCGGCUAACUACGUG